rnacentral:rRNA from 1 species
UGCCUCAUACAUGCAAGUCGAACGAAAUCUUCGGAUUUAGUGGCGCACGGGUGAGUAACAUGUGGGAAUUUACCUGAAGGUUCGGAAUAACUGCGGGAAACUGUAGCUAAUACCGGAUGUGUCUGCAAAGAGAAAGAUUUAUCGCCUUCAGAUAAGCCCGCACUAGAUUAGCUAGUUGGUGAGGUAACUGCUCCACCAAGGCUACGAUCUAUAGCUGAUUUGAGAGGAUGAUCAGCCACACUGGGACUGAGACACGGCCCAGACUCCUACGGGAGGCAGCAGUAGGGAAUAUUGGACAAUGGGGGAAACCCUGAUCCAGCAAUGCCGCGUGAGUGAAGAAGGCCUUCGGGUUGUAAAACUCUUUCAUCAAUGAUGAUAAUGACAUUAGUUGAAGAAGAAGCUCCGGCUAACUUCGUGCCAGCAGCCGCGGUAAUACGAAGGGGGCUAGCGUUGUUCGGAAUCACUGGGCGUAAAGCGUAUGUAGGCGGAUCAAAAAGUUAGAUGUGAAAUCCCUGGGCUCAACCCAGGAACUGCAUUUAAAACUAGUGAUCUAGAAUUUGGUAAAGGUUAGUAGAAUUUCCAG